AACGAACGCUGGCGGCAGGCUUAACACAUGCAAGUCGAACGCCCCGCAAGGGGAGUGGCAGACGGGUGAGUAACGCGUGGGAAUCUACCCAGAUCUUCGGAACAACACAGGGAAACUUGUGCUAAUACCGGAUACGCCCUACGGGGGAAAGAUUUAUCGGAUUUGGAUGAGCCCGCGUUGGAUUAGCUAGUUGGUGAGGUAAUGGCUCACCAAGGCUACGAUCCAUAGCUGGUCUGAGAGGAUGAUCAGCCACACUGGGACUGAGACACGGCCCAGACUCCUACGGGAGGCAGCAGUGGGGAAUAUUGGACAAUGGGCGAAAGCCUGAUCCAGCCAUGCCGCGUGAGUGAUGAAGGCCUUAGGGUUGUAAAGCUCUUUUAGUGGGGAAGAUAAUGACGGUACCCACAGAAAAAGCCCCGGCUAACUUCGUGCCAGCCGCCGCCGUAACAC
rnacentral:rRNA from 1 species